GACGAACGCUGGCGGCGUGCCUAAUACAUGCAAGUCGAGCGGGGUUAGUUAGAAGCUUGCUUCUAACUAACCUAGCGGCGGACGGGUGAGUAACACGUAGGCAACCUGCCCACAAGACAGGGAUAACUACCGGAAACGGUAGCUAAUACCCGAUACAUCCUUUUCCUGCAUGGGAGAAGGAGGAAAGGCGGAGCAAUCUGUCACUUGUGGAUGGGCCUGCGGCGCAUUAGCUAGUUGGUGGGGUAAAGGCCUACCAAGGCGACGAUGCGUAGCCGACCUGAGAGGGUGAUCGGCCACACUGGGACUGAGACACGGCCCAGACUCC
rnacentral:rRNA from 1 species